GCCGGGCGCGUUGGCACACGCCUGUAUCCCAGCAACUUGGGAGGCUGAGAUAGGAGGAUCCCAAGUUCAAAGCCAGCCUUAGCAAAAGGUAGGUGCUAAGGAACUCAGUGAGACCCUAUCUCUG
rnacentral:sRNA from 1 species